CCUGGACACCAGCCAUGGGCACCAGGGGUGGCUUGCAGCAGGCUUUGAUGCCCAUAAUCUCCAGCAGGAUCCCCCAAAGACUGCAGGUAUCGUGGGGUGCCUGAGGUGCAAAUGCAGCCUGGAGCAAGCACCCGCCCUUCCUCUGGACAGCACCCCAAGUCCCUCCUGGGGAUUCUGUUCUGCUCCCUGCUGGGCAACCCCACUCCCCACUGGGCUGUGGACUUGCUUCCCAAAGGCUUUGAGAAGCUUGAAAAAAAGUCCCAAGUCCUGGAGGCUUCAGUAGGACCUUCUCCUGUAGGGUCAGGACAGGACAGGUGGGGUGGGAUCUCUUGAGACAAAUGGCCCAGGCAGGGAUGCAGAGCUAAAGGAGACAGACCAAGGUGGCCUUAAAAAAUAUUAACAGAAUGCAAACUAUGGAUCAGGCAGUGUGUGAGGCCUUGGACUGCUGACCCCCAGACCUGAUGGAGAGAAGAGCUAAAAAGGCCCUUGGGGACAGGCCUGGCAGUGCCGGGGACCCCAACACCUUUCUGCUUGUCUCAGAGCUUGCAUCCCAGAGCGGAGGGAGGACAGUCGCAGCAUGGCUGAGUCCUGUCUGCCCCCACACAGGCAGGGCAGCUCCUCGGGGCUCCACGGGGCUUCAGGCCAGCCAGGCCGAGCCGAGCCAGGCAGCGAGUGGCUGAAACUCAAUCCAGUGGUGGCUCAGAUGUAACCACAGUUCUUGCCUUGGGGAAGCCUGGCUGUGACCAGAAGGCAGAGAAAGUGACCUUCCAGGCCACCUUCCCUGGAGCAGCAGUGCGGGGACACAUUUCAGGGUUUGAGGGGGAGCCCAGCCUUGGCCAGGGCGACAGUCUGUUCCAAGGGCAGCCUCCUGCUGGGAAGGCAGGCACGGUGAGAGAACCCCGGAGCCUGUCUGCAGCGGCUUACUUCCCCUGAAGCUGGCAUCUUCCAUUCAGGGGCUGCCUGGGGGGGUGAAGGGAAGUGGCCCACGGCUUGCUGUCCCCAAAACCUGGUCCUCUUCCUUUGCUGGCACCCACAUAUGGCACACAGGCACCAGGUCCGAUAGGCACCUGUGGACCGCUGCCCUGGGAAGGGGAUGAGUGGAGUCUUUCCUGAGGGAUUCUCAAGGCAGAAACUAGCGCCUCCCAAGUUUCCCCCAACAUUUCCAGCUGGGUGAGUACACUGAGCUCUAACCUGUACUUUGAGUAUGAAUUUUUCUUUUUUGUACUGGGGCUCAAACUCGGGUCCUUGCUCUUGCAAGGCAGACGGUGGAACCACUGAGCUAAAUCCCCGGCCCUCUAACCUGCACUUUGAACUGACGAAUGCUGAUCAGGGCUCUCUGUACAAGCACAGAGCCCUGCGUCUGAACCCACAGCUGUAGGAUUCGCCUCAUUUCUUUUCACGGUCUCAUUGAAGGCAGGAGCAAGGCCGCCCCAGGCAGCCGCUCCAGAUCUCCAAAAGGGACCCCAGGCACUGGCCGAAAGCACACAGGGCCACCAGAAGCAGGAAGGGUGAAAGCCAGGCUGCCCUCAGAACUGCCUCUCUCAGCAGCAGAAGGUAAAUGUCUCUGGGACAAGGAAACAGCCCUCAAGAGGUGACCGCAUGGGCAGAACUGGCAGAAGUAUGACCAGGUCUCCUAAAGGCAGGGUGGAGGGGAGCAGCCGGCUUGCUCUCCAUUCUGUGCAUCCUGCUGGCUGCCUCCCAGGCUCCCAGGCCCUGGGGAGUUUUCCAACCUUUCUGCAUGAGAACAAUCUCCUGCUUCCAUCCAUCCCCCACUGCCCCUGUGUAAGCCCGGGCCAAGACCCAAGCUGAAGCAGCCUCUGCCUCCAGCCCCGCCUCCUGCUCCCCUCCAGGGCCAGCCCAGGUGUCCUCCUGGGCUCCCGUCCACAGUAGUGGGGGGAAGGCCUUUCCUUUCUGACUCCCAGACAUGCUUGGAGGUGGGGGCGACAUAUCCCAUGACUGCCUGGGUCCUGUGCCACAGGGAUGGGAAUGGGACAGAGCGCUGGCACUGCUGUGUCCAGAGAAAGGGGGCUUUGGUAGCUUCUGAAUGGGCCAGGAAGCGAAGGACCCCAGCCCCUGGCCUUGGGAGAUGGCAACAGUGUCCCUGAGAGCUCCUGCAGCUGGGGUGGGAGAGUGGGGGACAAGGAGACCAGGAGGAACCCAGACAGCAGGCUGGGUGACACAGAGGGAGACCUUGCCACAUGAAGGAGCAAGCGAAUGAGCGAGAUCUGCUGUCCCUCUGAGCCAGCCAGGCCCUUGCAAAGGAGCAAGGGAACCCCAGCCUGCUCCACAAAACACAGGUGAAGGAGCUGGGGAGCUGGGGAUGGAGGUCAGUGGUGCUGCCCCUGCCUGGCAAGCACAAAGUCCUGAGUUCGAUUCCUGGUACUGGGAAGAAAAAAGAACUGGAGGGCUGGAGCCGAAACUCACGCACACUUACUUCUGAAGAAGAGCCUGUGCCCCUGGACAGCCCUGCAGCCCCCUCCCUGCUUCCAGUGGGGAAGAUCCACAUGCUUGCCCAGCCUCGGCCAUGCCAGGAAGAAAGAGCUAGUUGUGGUUCAUGCUUCAGUCACCUCAGUCGGUGCACGGAUGGCCUAGCACAGAGGCUGUGGAGGACGCUGCUCACUGAAUGGCAGCCUGGAAACAGACAGAGGAGAGAAGAGCUGAGAGGGCGAUAAACCUCCCUCGACACGCUCCAGGGACCCCACCUCCUCCGUCAGACCCUGCUUCCCAGCAGCCAGCUGUACCACGUCAUCAAACAAUGACCAUUCCCUGGCAUAUUAUCGUAAAAAUGAUGAUUUUAAUCAUAGGUUCCACUUGACUGAGUGCCCCCGAUGUUCUACCCAGUACAUGCAACAUCUCUGCUAAUCCUCAGGAAAAAGCCAUUAUUAUCCCCUGGCCAAGAGGGGAAAACCAAAGCUUACAAACUUCAGCAAAUAUCCUGCCUGUGGUUGAUGCUGUUCAUUCUGCCAUUCCCUGCACUCAUAUUAUGCCACAGCGGAUGAACUGACUUUAGCAAAAUAAUGUAGCAAUUAUUUCCUGUUUGUAAAACAGCUUCACCAUUAGAAUAUUUAACCCUUUGCCCCACUUAUUACUGUUGUAGCCCAGGUUUUUGUGUAGUUAGGUCACCUAAACAGUAGAUACAGUUUGCAUAAUGAUGCUCUGGCUCAGGACAGGUAAACAAUGGUUUUGUAAGAUUAUAAUAGAGCUGAAAAGUUCCUAUUGCAGUGAACACACGGCUGGAGAAUAGAAAGAGAAACUGCAGGGGGAAAUAGAACCCUGAAGAAAAUUCACAGUGAAGAUUUAGCAGAAGCGGUUGCAGACUUCAACAAGCUCCUUACAAGUGUUUGAAAACCCACAGGCUGUCCUUAAUAGAGAAGAGUUUUCAUCGCAUUAUCUGCCUACAAGAAAAAUCUAUGACAGAAAAAAAGAGAGAAGCAAACAACUAAGGACAUAUUUCUUUCUUUCUUUCUUCUUUUUUUUUUUUUUGAGGUACUGGGGAUUGAACUUGGGACCUUGUGCUUUCGAGGCAGCUGGUGGCACCACUGAGCUAAAUCCCCAGCCCACUAAGGGCAUAUUUCCGAAGAGUGACCUGCCUCAGUCCUUCAAGAGGGAUCCAGAGGGAAGCCACAGCUGUGGUCAUGGGGGUGACAGGCACCUUGUCACUGCCUUCCGGGGGGAGAGGAUGUGGAGGCGGAAGGCAGAGACUGACACUCCUCAUCCUGUGUAGGCCUAGGCCAAUGUGUGUGUUUGCAUCUUGAUUUUUAAUUUUUUUAAAAGUUUAAAAAGUAAAAUAAAAUUUAAAUAGAAAAGCUUAUAUAACAAGGGUAUAAAACUACUUUUGUACAGCUGUACAUGUUUGUGUUUGAAGCUGUUAUUACAAAUGAGUCAAAAUGUUUAAAUUAUCAAGAGCAUAUAAAGUAAAAAUGUUACAGUAAACUGAAGUUAAUUUAUUACCGAAGGAAAAUACUGGUCAUCAAUUCAGUGCAGGCUAGGUGUGGCCUGUGUAAAGUCCACAGCAGUGCACAGAAACAUCCUGGGCUUCCACACUCACUUCACCACUCGGGGUACGUACAAGGCACCAUCUCUACCACAUCUUAACUGUGCCUUUUCUGCAUUUGAAUGCACGAAUACUGUUAUGGCUGUCUAGAUGUCUCCCAAAGCCCCAUGCAGUCGUAGCUGGGGGGUUUUCAGAGGUGGCUGGAUUUAAAGUGUGUAAUUGAUUCAUGGUGCAAUGCUAGGAUUAAGAGUGCUAGAAUUAAGGGUGUGUGAUUACUAAAUCAGUCCACUGAUUGGUUUGGCCCUGCCCUAAUCUCAGUAGCCUGAGUACAGUAUAAGGGACAGAAGAGGCUUGUCUUGUCCUGGCGAAGCCCAACCGACCUCCAAUGCUGCUUGACAAAGUUCCCGGUGGGGGAAAGAAAGGGUGGAACACAUCGUACCCUCAUGUUUUAUUUUUUCUUGCCAUAAUGUUUAUAAUUGUUACUCUGAUCACAGGAGUCAUUGUGUUUGUGACUAACAACACUCUCCAUGAGACAAAUUGGUAAUGAUACAUUGAAAUCUGAUCUGGCUCACAAGUCCCAAAUUCCAGUUUCUCUUAGUUCUAUUGCCACAUCCACUUCUAAAAAAACCUCUCCUAAAACCCCCUCUGUUUCCCCACUACUAUGACUCCCCCUCUUAUUGCUGACAUUCUUUUUACUAAAGGGGUCUUA